rnacentral:rRNA from 1 species
AUUGAACGCUGGCGGCAGGCCUAACACAUGCAAGUCGAGCGGAGCGGCGGACGGGUGAGUAAUGCCUAGGAAUCUGCCUGGUCGUGGGGGAUAAGGACCGGAACCGGGAGCUAAGACCGCAUACUCUCAGAUGAGACUAGGUCGGAUUGGCUUGGUGGUGGGGUAAAGGCCAACCAAGGCGACGACCCGUAACUGGUCUGAGAGGAGGAUCAGUCACACUGGAACUGAGACACGGUCCAGACUCCUACGGGAGGGAGCAGUGGGGAAUAUUGGACAAUGGGCGAAAGCCUGAUCCAGCCAUGCCGCGUGUGGGAAGAAGGUCUUCGGAUUGUAAAGCACUUUAAGUUGGGAGGCGUUACCAGCAGAAUAAGCACCGGCUAACUUCGUGCCAGCAGCCGCGGUAAUUC